UACGGAGGGUGCGAGCGUUAUCCGGAAUUACUGGGUUUAAAGGGUGCGUCGGCGGCGUAGUAAGUCAGGCGUGAAAGGUUGCGGCUCAACCGUAAAAUUGCUUUUGAUACUGCUAUGCUAGAAUUAGGAUGAGGUCAGCGGAAUGUGGCAUGUAGCGGUGAAAUGCAUAGAUAUGCCAUAGAACACCAAUUGCGAAGGCAGCUGGCUAGACCUGGAUUGACGCUGAGGCACGAAAGCGUGGGGAGCGAACAGG
rnacentral:rRNA from 1 species